CAUCCUUUUAUUCAUGUCUAUUUAUAACUUUAACCAAAGCUACAGAUGGGAGCAAUUACAGUAUCAACACAUCACUAUCUUCCCAAGAUCAUUAGUUUUUCUAUUGGCAAAGCUAUACAAGAUGAAACAUUAACUGCAAAAUCUGUUUGUUACAAUUUCAUAGAGCAUCAGUCAGAGAUCUAUAGCACAGCAUCAUCGCCUGUGUGAUUUUUCCAGGCAAACGUGUGUUGUUGUUUUUUUUUUCCCUUGACAUUUGGCAGAGUCAAAGCGAGGUUAUAAUUAAAUAGGCUGUUAAAAUUAAACCCUUAUCUUGGCUCUUGGAGAAGGUAGGCAGUAAGAGACAUGGAGACAGGAUGAGCCCCCUUGUCCCUGCCUAAGCUUAUCCUAGGAAAUCACCUCCUCAGUGCCCAGGUACAGCCUGGAGCACCUGGCACACCCAUGCCCACCCCAUGCAUGAAAUGUUCUGGGCACGUGGGGACAAAAUCUGCCCUUGCACCAUGCCUGGCUCUGUGGACACCCCACUCAGUGCUGGGGAAGUGCAGUGUGGACCUGCCCCACAUGUUAAUGGCAGUAAGUGUGAUGCAGGGAUAAGCCUAUCCAGCCCCACCCUGCACUUACAGCAAGAGCAAAAGAAGGUAAACAGGCAGAGAGGCAGCCCACAGCAUUUCCAUGAGCUGCUGCAAGCCACGUUACCCUACUUUCCUUCCUGGAUAUAUUUUUCUGAGUGUCUUUCCAGAUGGGCAAGCAGCUCCUCAGCCACUUGGGCUGCCAGGAGGAAGAUGCCUCCCCUGACUGCAGCUGACCAGGAGGAGCAGGCACAAAGUGCAGGGGUUGCAUUGAGUGCAGGAAUGGUCUUUAUAUGGUUGUAAAGCACGGGGCUGUAAUUCAUUUAACAGGCUGCACUUCAACCAGUCCUCUGGUCUGGUAUAACCUGGAAUGUUGCUUGUGAUACAUGGUUGGUUUUAGGAAAGUCUUUAAGACUUUGAGUUAUAUACACAUUGUCACUAUGUCCCCUUGGAAUCUAAGAGAAGCUGGCAUGAUUUGGACCAGCAACGCUAUGAUAUUUUUAAUAAGAAUUGUAGAGAUGACACCCUUUUAUUACAGAGUGGUACUUAACACAGUGAAUAAAAAGUUAUAGAUUAAACUACAGGCGAGUGUUGUAAAGGUUUGUUUUAGAAAUAACAAACCAUUUAGUAUGAGGGAAAGUGAAAUCCAUUCAGAAAUGUAGGAAUGCGUUUCUGCCCGUGGAGGUGAGGAGUAGUAUUUCCUAACAUCCAGCCUGA
ensembl:lncRNA